CUACGGGCUGCUGCAGUGGGGAAUAUUGCACAAUGGACGAAAGUCUGAUGCAGCAACGCCGCGUGGAGGAUGACACAUUUCGGUGCGUAAACUCCUUUUAUAUAGGAAGAUAAUGACGGUACUAUAUGAAUAAGCACCGGCUAACUCCGUGCCAGCAGCCGCGGUAAUACGGAGGGUGCAAGCGUUACUCGGAAUUACUGGGCGUAAAGAGCGUGUAGGCGGGUUUGUAAGUUGGAUGUGAAAUCCUAUGGCUCAACCAUAGAACUGCAUCCAAAACUGCUUACCUAGAAUAUGGGAGAGGUAGAUGGAAUUUCUGGUGUAGGGGUAAAAUCCGUAGAGAUCAGAAGGAAUACCGAUUGCGAAGGCGAUCUACUGGAACAUUAUUGACGCUGAGACGCGAAAGCGUGGGGAGCAAACAGGAUUAGAUACCCGCGUAGUC
rnacentral:rRNA from 1 species